GAUCCUGGCUCAGGAUGAACGCUGGCGGCGUGCCUAAUACAUGCAAGUCGAGCGAAUGGAUUAAGAGCUUGCUCUUAUGAAGUUAGCGGCGGACGGGUGAGUAACACGUGGGUAACCUGCCCAUAAGACUGGGAUAACUCCGGGAAACCGGGGCUAAUACCGGAUAACAUUUUGAACCGCAUGGUUCGAAAUUGAAAGGCGGCUUCGGCUGUCACUUAUGGAUGGACCCGCGUCGCAUUAGCUAGUUGGUGAGGUAACGGCUCACCAAGGCAACGAUGCGUAGCCGACCUGAGAGGGUGAUCGGCCACACUGGGACUGAGACACGGCCCAGACUCCUACGGGAGGCAGCAGUAGGGAAUCUUCCGCAAUGGACGAAAGUCUGACGGAGCAACGCCGCGUGAGUGAUGAAGGCUUUCGGGUCGUAAAACUCUGUUGUUAGGGAAGAACAAGUACAUAGUUGAAUAAGCUGGCACCUCGACG
rnacentral:rRNA from 1 species